rnacentral:rRNA from 1 species
AGGAUGAACGCUGGCGGCGUGCUUAACACAUGCAAGUCGAACGAUGAAGCGGAGCUUGCUCUGUGGAUUAGUGGCGAACGGGUGAGUAACACGUGAGUAACCUGCCCUUGACUCUGGGAUAAGCACUGGAAACGGUGUCUAAUACCGGAUACGAGCUUCAGCCGCAUGGCUAGGAGUUGGAAAGAAUUUCGGUCAAGGAUGGACUCGCGGCCUAUCAGGUAGUUGGUGAGGUAAUGGCCCACCAAGCCUACGACGGGUAGCCGGCCUGAGAGGGUGACCGGCCACACUGGGACUGAGACACGGCCCAGACUCCUACGGGAGGCAGCAGUGGGGAAUAUUGCACAAUGGGCGCAAGCCUGAUGCAGCAACGCCGCGUGAGGGACGACGGCCUUCGGUUGUAAACCUCUUUAGUAGGAAGAAGCGAAGUGACGGUACCUGCAGAAAAGCGACCGGCUAACUACGUGCCAGCAGCCGCGGU